rnacentral:misc_RNA from 1 species
AUGUCUGCGAUUGAACUGGAGAAUGUUUUGCAGCAGAUAUUCAUGGAAUGCGACGCAUCCUUGUCAAUUUCGACGCCGGAAUCGACGAUGUCUAUAGGUGACGAGGUGCCGAUCUCCAAGAUCGUCCAAUACGUUCAGGAGCAAUUGCCGACCUGGUCAAUCGACGAUCUGGCAGAGUUUUGGAAAUGUCUGACCGCCGUUUCGUCGAACGAUCGCGUGAACUUGUGGCAAUUCAAGGAGGCGACCAAGUGCUGGAUUACCAAGAUGCAACAGAUACAUUCUUCGCAGGACGAUAAUAACAACGCGCGGGAAAAACUCUACUUCAUGAGCGACACAGAUUCAUCGAUGAAAGACAUGGACAUAAAUAGAGACAUCGUGGAAUUGGGACUCCGCGUAAAACUUCGGGAACUUCACGAGGAGAACAUCCUCCUUCGCGAUGAGCUCGAACGGCAUGAGACGUCAAUCGACAAUCUCAAACAGCAAUGUAACAUUGCUGAGAGGCAACUAGAUCGUUACGUUCAGAAAUGCCAGCAACUCGAAAGAGAGAACGACGAGCAGAGAGAUCAAUUAAAUGAGGCAAUUAAGAACGGAAAGGCUACGGCCUUGACUCUUCAAAGAUGCACGAAAGAGCAGCAAAAUUUGUCGAGGCAAUUGGAAGCCGCAGAGAUUGAGGUACAAACUAUACCAUCUUUAAAAUGUAAAGUGGAAAAAAUCAGCAAAGAGAAAAUUGACUUUAUGAAACAAAUCGCUAAAUUGCAAGAGAAAUUUGAUGAGACAGAAGAUGAGUGUAAACAAUUAAAAGUCACAAUAGCUGAAAUGGAGGAAAUAAAUAUCAAGAUGAGAGAGAGCUACGAUCAGACGAUUCAUAGUCUGCGCGAAAAAAACUGUCAACUUACGGAGGAGAACACGGAACUGCAAUCGUUGUCGGUUAUUAAUAGACAUUCUUCCGGAGAAAGACUUUCGUUAUCGACAAUUCCUGAUAUAGACGGAUGUUACACACACAGCACACCUUAUAAAUCAGGAAAGAUAUUGCUGCAAGAUUCAUUAUACGCGGAAUUGAAAGCUUCAGGUUUUGUGACUGAAUGCAGCAAAUAUGACUCAUGUAGACAAGAAUUGGAUGAAUAUGACACUGCGAUUUCGACGACAUUGGAAGAGCUGGAUAAAGUUGUACAAAUUUUUGGUAAAACGCGGAGCUUUAUCGACGAUGUAUCCAAGUCCAGCUCGCAAGACAUGAACGCGGCAACUUGGAAUAUCGAGGCAUUGAAACACAAAGUGACUUUCUUACAGAAUAUGGCAAACGAAGAGGUCACGAGGAAGAGCACCAAGGAUUCGAGCACGCAGCUUCGAGCCGAUCCAGUGAUUGGAUCGAGCGACGAUUUGGAUCAAUUUGGCGUCACGGGUUUCCGAGAUUUAUUGCUGACACGCGCCCAGCCGUAUACAAAGACUGAAACGGAUCUGCGCCUUAUAACUUUAUGUAACCUCGUGAACAACGAUGAUCAUGAUGAUUCAUUCUCGAGAGUCAUAAAAACAUGCAACACGGGCACUCAAAAUCGACUCCGUAUCAUUGAACCUAUCAUCGAAGAGCUAUACGACAUCAUCGAGAGCACUCAUAAAGCUCUUAUCAAUCACAGAAAUCAUUCACCGUCCGGGAACUCAAGGUAUCGAUCGGUGCACACGUUGCCCUCGCACUCUCCGCAACCAUCUUCGCCGAAAGAGCAGCGGACAUUCAGCUGUCAAAGUUCAAUCAUAGACUUCCCCGAUGUUUCCCUCGCGCGGGGGGACUUUUGUUUGAAGCGGGAAGACCACGACGGGAAAUCAUCCCCUACAGAACCGCACGAUGUUUCCGGAAAAGGAAACCUGACCCCGAAAGAAUCGAACAUCCUGCAAAUGGAUUCGACGACAUUAGCAACGACAUCAGGGGAGGAAAAGACGAGCGCCAAGAUUGUCGAAGAAGCAACCAGCGCGAGCAACUCACCAAGUCCCCGUAGGAAAAUUUCGGUCUACUGUCGAUCCUUCAACGUGGUGACGGUGCAGGACGCGUGCGAGGAUCCUCAAGGAUCCAAUAGAGAAGUCAGACGAUCGCCGAGUAAUCUUGGCGAGUCUUCCGCGCGAAUCGACGAGAGGCUCGUUCCAGAGAAGGAUCAAAAUAGCACGUCUAAGUAUCCAUUCGAUCACAAUUAUCGGAACACGAAGAACGACAGCGAUUCGUCGAACGGCUCGACGCCGCAGAAGCAAUUCCAGGACAGUCCAUUGGAAGACGAAUUGCCGAUCGAACAGCCGGUACUUAGAAGAGUCUGCUUAGCGCCUACGCGUUUGAAACUUCCGCAAAGAAUUAACAAAUUAAACGAUACCGCUUGUGUCCCCGACUCCACCGAACCGAAUGUUUCCAAUUCUUCCCUGUCUUCUGUCGCUGACGAUGAAUGCGACGAAGACGACAAUGCUUUGCGCUCGUCUGCGACGUUCAUCAUAGACAAGUGCGAAACGGAAAUACAGGAUGGAUUAGGUGAAUCGAAAUCGUGUUCGGGGAAUUUUCCUCGGGAACGUUCUACAUCAGCUCGUCGCUUAUUUCCAUGUAAUCACACCGAUUCAAGGAAAAUCGUGGAUUCAGAGAAUCCCCACUCUCAGGCGAGCGUGCAAAGAGUCGAGAGUGAAUCGCGAAUCGCGCGGUCAGUCGAUGGCCAAAUGUCGAGUCGCGAGGAUAGUUCGGACAGCGAGUGCGAGCCGGCAACGAAGUCGACUGAUCGAGGCAUUGCUGAGAAAAUCGAUACAGCCGCCAGUGCCGUGUCGUCCACAUCGUCCAACGAUCUGGCCUCCGCGGCGAUAGUUUCUUGCAAGAGCGAGGUGCAGGAGAAGACAAAGACAUGCGACAGGAACCUGUUGAACGCGAAGCAGGAAAAACGACAGCGGCUUUUAUUCACCAGAAGGUCAUUCUCGGAGAGUGAAAGUAACGGCCGAUUGAGAUGCCGUUGCAAGCAUCAGGAAAGCGCGCCUUUGAUUCCGGAAGGAGAUCAGCGCAGAGUUUUUCCGAGCCUCACGGACUUUCGUCUGCAAGAAUCCGGAAUAGCCAAUUUAUCAUCGGACACGGACAACAGGGAGAACCUCAGCGAGCUCGAAUUGCAGAAGAGGUACAUAGUGUUUUCGCUAUGCCUUUGCACAGAUAGGUUGACUCUAUCGCGAAGGAUAGCAUUGUCGGUUCGGCAGCGCGAUCAAUCGGAGAAAAAUCUCUCCUGGGAGGUGCAGAAGAUGCAGCAGGACAUCCAGGGAAUCCGUGGAACGGGUGGAGCGGGUCAGACAUCAGUUGGAGAUGAUUGUGCGAUGUGCGCACAGGGUGUCCUGCGCGGCCGAGACUCUAGGCGCCGUUUACCAGGAGCAUAGGGUUUCCCGAGCCGUUCAGGUGGCCGACAGGUACCUCCAGUUGCUGCAUUCCCGAUGCGAGAAGCUGAUUGCCGAUGUCGCUGAGACUAAGCGGAUCUUGGCAGAGAACAAUAUAGUGAUAGAGGAGAACUCUGGCGAGUUUUGUGAUGAUCUGCCCCGGAUCAGAUACAGGAGCGGGACACCCGUCAAUAAUCGUAUAA